rnacentral:rRNA from 1 species
UACGUAGGCAGCGAGCGUUGUUCGGAGUUACUGGGCGUAAAGAGUGCGUAGGCGGUUUUCUAAGUUUGGUGUGAAAUCUCCCGGCUCAACUGGGAGGGUGCGCCGAAGACUGGAAGGCUUGAGUAUGGGAGAGGUAAGCGGAAUUCCUGGUGUAGCGGUGAAAUGACGUAGAUAUCAGGAGGAACACCGAUGGCGAAGGCAGGUCUCUGGGCCACUACUGACGCUGAGAAGCGAAAGCAUGGGGAGCGAACAGG